rnacentral:rRNA from 1 species
GACGAACGCUGGCGGCGCGCUUAACACAUGCAAGUCGAACGGAAAGGCCUGCUUUCCCUUGUGGAUUGCGGGUACUCGAGUGGCGAACGGGUGAGUAACACGUGAGUGAUCUGCCCCCAACUUGGGUAUAAGCCUGGGAAACUGGGUCUAAUUCCCGAUAGGACUGCAGGGUGGUGCCUGUGGUGGAAAACGAUUUUCUAGUGGUUGGGGUUGAGCUCGCGGCCUAUCAGCUUGUUGGUGGGGUAAUGGCCUACCAAGGCGGCGACGGGUAGCCGGCCUGAGAGGGUGGACGGCCACAUUGGGACUGAGAUACGGCCCAGACUCCUACGGGAGGCAGCAGUGGGGAAUAUUGCACAAUGGGCGGAAGCCUGAUGCAGCGACGCCGCGUGGGGGAUGACGGCCUUCGGGUUGUAAACUCCUUUCGACCGCGAGGAAGCCACCUGGUUGGAAGGGUGGUGACGGUAGUGGUAGAAGAAGCACCGGCUAACUACGUG